rnacentral:rRNA from 1 species
UACGUAGGGGGCUAGCGUUGUCCGGAAUCAUUGGGCGUAAAGCGCGCGUAGGCGGUCAGGUAAGUCCGGUGUGAAAGUCAAAGGCUCAACCUUUGAAUGCCGCUGGAUACUGCUUGACUUGAGUCCGGAAGGGGCGAGUGGAAUUCCUGGUGUAGCGGUGAAAUGCGUAGAGAUCAUGAGGAAGACCAGUGGCGAAGGCGGGUCUCUGGACAGUUCCUGACACUGAGGCACGAAGGCCAGGGGAGCAAACGGG